rnacentral:tRNA from 1 species
CAAAGAAUAGUUUAUUUCAAAAUCUUA